CAGAGUUGCGAAACUCCAAAACCCUUGCUGAACCCACCACUGAACAGUUGCUUCGGCGGCGUGGAUGGCAGGGCCCCUCCCUAGCUGACGGGCCGGCCGCGCCGAACCGCAGGAGGCACCCUAAACUCUUGUUUGUACAGGCCUCUCUGAGUAUAAGCCACUUGAAUAAAGUCA
rnacentral:misc_RNA from 1 species